UGCCAGUUCUUCCCAGCGGCCCAGCUCCCUAACCUCGGCUUCCUCCUCGUGGUGAGCCUGGGCUCUAGCCUGCCCAGCUCAGAGCCCAUUACCUGCAGACACGAAGAAGAUGCCGGCACUCAGGAUGAUGUUGUGUCGAGUCU